AGUGAACGCUGGCGGUAGGCCUAACACAUGCAAGUCGAACGGCAGCACAGUAAGAGCUUGCUCUUACGGGUGGCGAGUGGCGGACGGGUGAGGCAUACAUCGGAAUCUACUUUUUCGUGGGGGAUAACGGAGGGAAACUUACGCUAAUACCGCAUACGACCUACGGGUGAAAGCAGGGGAUCUUCGGACCUUGCGCGAUUGAAUGAGCCGAUGUCGGAUUAGCUAGUUGGCGGGGUAAAGGCACACCAAGGCGACGAUCCGUAGCUGGUCUGAGAGGAUGAUCGGCCACACUGGAACUGAGACACGGUCCAGACUCCUACGGGAGGCAGCAGUAGGGAAUAUUGAACAAUGGGCGCAAGCCUGACCGAGCAAUGCCGCGUGAGUGAAGAAGGUCUUCGGAUUGUAAAACUCUUUUGUUGGGAAAGAAAAGAAGCGUAUGAAUACCCGCAUGUCUUGACGGUACCCAAUGAGAAAGCACCGGCUAACUUCGUG
rnacentral:rRNA from 1 species